rnacentral:rRNA from 1 species
AUUGAACGCUGGCGGCAGGCCUAACACAUGCAAGUCGAGCGGCGCAGCGGACGGGUGAGUAAUGAAUAGGAAUCUGCAUGGUAGCGGGGGAUAACGUACGGAAACGGGCGCUAAUACUGCUAACUAGCAGAUGAGCCUAGAUCGGAUUAGCUAGUUGGAGGGGUAAGGGCCUACCAAGGCGACGAUCCGUAUCUGGUCUGGGAGGAUGAUCAGUCACACUGGAACUGAGAUACGGUCCAGACUCCUACGGGAGGCAGCAGUGGGGAAUAUUGGACAAUGGGCGAAAGCCUGAUCCAGCCAUGCCGCGUGUGUGAAGAAGGCCUUCGGAUUGUAAAGCACUUUAAGUUGGGAGGCGUUACCAACAGAAUAAGCACCGGCUAACUUCGUGCCAGCAGCUGCGGUAAUAC